GUGGGGAAUAUUGGACAAUGGGCGCAAGCCUGAUCCAGCAAUACCGCGUGUGUGAAGAAGGCCUGAGGGUUGUAAAGCACUUUUAAUCGGGAGGAACAUCUACGGGCGAAUACCUCGUAGUCUGACAUUACCGAUAGAAAAAGCACCGGCUAACUCCGUGCCAGCAGCCGCGGUAAUACGGAGGGUGCAAGCGUUAAUCGGAAUUACUGGGCGUAAAGCGUGCGUAGGCGGUUAUUUAAGUCAGAUGUGAAAGCCCCGGGCUUAACCUGGGAACUGCAUUUGAUACUGGAUGACUUGAGUUUACUAGAGGAGAGUGGAAUUUCAGGUGUAGCGGUGAAAUGCGUAGAGAUCUGAAGGAACACCAGUGGCGAAGGCGACUCUCUGGAGUAAAACUGACGCUGAGGUACGAAAGCGUGGGUAGCAAACAGGAUUAGAAACCCUUGUAGUCC
rnacentral:rRNA from 1 species